UUAAAAUUUUAUGGUAAAAAUAUAUAUGAGUCUAGUUUCAGGAAAAAUUAACGGAUAUUAAUUUGGAGUUCCGUAGCUCAAGUUAUAAAUAAUUUAGUGACUAUGACUUAAGUAGACAACUUUGAAUGAAUUAUAAAUAAUAGUUGAAUUAUAGAGAAUGUUGCAUAUGAACAUGAAAUGUAUUAAAUUGAUAAUUAAAUUUAUUUAUUUAGAUCCGUAAGAUUCAAAUACUGAAGCUAGAUCGAGGAAAGGAAAAAGUUCGGGAUUAGUAGAUUUUUUUUGUUUACAAACAAGUAUCAAGUGUUAAGAGCUCGGAGGUCAGAUUUGGUCGGAGACACAUCACACUAUCAACCUCAGGACUUCAGUAUAUAAAGAAACUUUACUUUGGAAAUCAAUGGCAUGUAUAAGCUAAUAAAGUAAAUGAUUCUGUGAAAUGAAUGUAGAGUUAGCCAUUGGUAUGGUUAACAAACCUGGUUUUGGGUAUGUGAUGACGUUAUUUUAUAAAUAUGCAUGAAUUUAUCUUGAAA